GAUGAAGAACGUAGCGAAAUGCGAUAAGUAGUGUGAAUUGCAGAAUUCAGUGAAUCAUCGAAUCUUUGAACGCACAUUGCGCCCCUUGGUAUUCCAUGGGGCAUGCCUGUUCGAGCGUCAUUUGUACCUUCAGGCUUUGCUUGGUGUUGGGUGUUUGUCCCUCGGGACUCGCCUUAAAGUCAUUGGCAGCCAGUGUUUUGGUUUUGAAGCGCAGCACAAGUCGCGAUUCAAGGCUAUCCGCCCGCUUCCACAAGCCUUUUUCACUUUUGACCUCGGAUCAGGUAGGGAUACCCGCUGAACUUAAGCAUAUCAAUAAGCGGAGGA
rnacentral:misc_RNA from 1 species